GUGCAUACAGCCUGUCUUCUCUUGAGAGCCAGGUCUGCCUUCUACGGCGUUUCUCAAUGGAAAGGCUAUGCUCACUGAGUCUGUACAUAGUCAAAGCUUUUCUUAAGUUUGGGUCAGUCACAGUGGUCAGGUAUUCUGCCACUGUGUGCUCUCUGUUUAGGGCCAAAUAACAUUCUAGUUUGCUCAGCUUUUUUGUAAAUUCUUUCCAAUUUGUCAAGUAAUUAUCUUUUUGUUUUCUCAUGAUUUGGUUGGGUCUAAUUGUGUUGCUGUCCUGGGGCUCUGUUGGGUCUGUUUAAGUUUGUGAACAGAGCCCCAGGACCAGAUUGCUUAGGGGACUCUUCUCCAGGUUCAUCUCUCUGACCUUCUUGCCUUGUCUCUCAGAUCGUUCACAGCUUUGUGGAAGUUACCUGUGGCGCUGAUGUUUAGGCCAAGAGAUGAGUCAGUCUCCCACACGCCGCUCCGCUCGCCAGGCUGCUCCACCAAUCCACCAAUCACAGGAAGUGGACGCCUGCGUCAGAGACAGGGUUGGUGAUGGAGGAGAAGAGCUCAACUAAUAGCAUUCCUCACCUCCCCCAGUCUCCUGCCUCAUCACUGACACACUUCCUGG
rnacentral:lncRNA from 1 species